rnacentral:snoRNA from 1 species
AUCCCAUGAUGAGGACACUUACGAAGUAACUCCUUGAAUCGCUCCCAAGCCUAAUAAAAAGACUCGUCAUCCAAUUGUUGGAAAGCUGAGAUCUCGUUCCUCAACUU